AACGAACGCUGGCGGCAGGCCUAACACAUGCAAGUCGAACGCCCCGCAAGGGGAGUGGCGCACGGGUGAGUAACGCGUGGGAAAACGCCCUUCGGUUCGGAAUAACACAGGGAAACUUGUGCUAAUACCGGAUACGAACUACGGAUGAAAGAUUUAUCGCCGAGGGAGUAACCCGCGUAGGAUUAGCUAGUUGGUGAGGUAAUGGCUCACCAAGGCGACGAUCCUUAGCUGGUUUGAGAGGAUGAUCAGCCACACUGGUACUGAGACACGCCCCAGACUCCGACGGGAGGCAGCGGUGGGGAAUAUUUGACAAGGGGCGAAAGCCUGAUCCAGCCAUGCCGCGUGGGUGAUGAAGGCCUUAGGGUUGUAAAGCUCUUUCGCCAGAGAAGAUAAUGACGGUACCUGGAAAAGAAGCCUCGGCUAACUCCGUGCCAGCAGCCGCAGUAAGAC
rnacentral:rRNA from 1 species